rnacentral:rRNA from 1 species
GCCAUGCCGCGUGCAGGAUGACGGUCCUAUGGAUUGUAAACUGCUUUUAUACGAGAAGAAACACUCCUUCGUGAAGGAGCUUGACGGUAUCGUAAGAAUAAGGAUCGGCUAACUCCGUGCCAGCACCCGCGGUAAUACGGAGGAUCCAAGCGUUAUCCGGAAUCAUUGGGUUUAAAGGGUCCGUAGGCGGUUUAAUAAGUCAGUGGUGAAAGCCCAUCGCUCAACGGUGGAACGGCCAUUGAUACUGUUAGACUUGAAUUAUUAGGAAGUAACUAAAAUAUGUAGUGUAGCGGUGAAAUGCUUAGAGAUUACAUGGAAUACCAAUUGCGAAGGCAGGUUACUACUAAUUGAUUGACGCUAAUGGACGAAAGCGUGGGUAGCGAACAGGAUUAGAUACCCUGGUAGUCCACGCCGUACACGAUGGAUACUAGCUGUUGGGAGCAAUUUCAGUGGCUAAGCGAAAGUGAUAAGUAUCCCACCUGGGGAGUACGUUCGCAAGAAUGAAACUCAAAGGAAUUGACGGGGGCCCGCACAAGCGGUGGAGCAUGUGGUUUAAUUCGAUGAUACGCGAGGAACCUUACCAAGGCUUAAAUGUAGAUUGACCGGUUUGGAAACAGACUUUUC